rnacentral:rRNA from 1 species
GACGGAGGAUGCAAGCGUUAUCCGGAAUGAUUGGGCGUAAAGCGUCUGCAGGUGGCAGUUCAAGUCUGCUGUCAAAGACCGGGGCUUAACUUCGGAAAGGCAGUGGAAACUGAACAGCUAGAGUAUGGUAGAGGCAGAGGGAAUUCCUGGUGUAGCGGUGAAAUGCGUAGAGAUCAGGAAGAACAUCGGUGGCGAAGGCGCUCUGCUGGACCAUAACUGACACUCAGGGACGAAAGCUAGGGGAGCGAAUGGG